GACGAACGCUGGCGGCGUGCUUAACACAUGCAAGUCGAACGGAAAGGCCCUGCUUUUGUGGGGUGCUCGAGUGGCGAACGGGUGAGUAACACGUGAGUAACCUGCCCUUGACUUUGGGAUAACUUCAGGAAACUGGGGCUAAUACCGGAUAGGAGCUCCUGCUGCAUGGUGGGGGUUGGAAAGUUUCGGCGGUUGGGGAUGGACUCGCGGCUUAUCAGCUUGUUGGUGGGGUAGUGGCUUACCAAGGCUUUGACGGGUAGCCGGCCUGAGAGGGUGACCGGCCAAAUUGGGACUGGGAUUCGGCCCCGACCCCUACGGGGGGCAGCAGUGGGGGAUAUUGCACCAUGGGGGGAAGCCUGAUGCCGCAACGCCGCGUGCGGGGUGACGGCCCUCGGGUUGUAAACCGCUUUCGCCUGUGACGAAGCGUGAGUGACGGUAAUGGGUAAAGAAGCACCGGCUAACUACGUG
rnacentral:rRNA from 1 species